GACGUAGGGCGCGAGCGUUGUCCGGAUUUAUUGGGCGUAAAGAGCUCGUAGGCGGCUUGUCGCGUCGACCGUGAAAACUUGGGGCUCAACCCCAAGCCUGCGGUCGAUACGGGCAGGCUCGAGUUCGGUAGGGGAGACUGGAAUUCCUGGUGUAGCGGUGAAAUGCGCAGAUAUCAGGAGGAACACCAAUAGCGAAGGCAGCUCGCUGGGACGUUACUGACACUGAGGCGCGAAAGCGUGGGGAGCGAACAGG
rnacentral:rRNA from 1 species